rnacentral:lncRNA from 1 species
UCAGGCUGGCACCCAGAACCCCUGCUCCACAGCGAUGAAGACAGAUUCCACCUCUGGCCAGCAGGAGGCGUGGCCCAGCCCUGGCCAUGCAGCUGUACCCACUCCCUUCAGCAUCUGGCAGCUCAACAGAAGCCCCCAUGCCCAACAGUGCAAAGACUUGAACAUCAUGAGUUAAGGACAGAGGAGACCUGAGAAAGCUGUAAACCUGAGGAAGUGCGCAUCUCAACAGUUGCCACCAUGGGCACGGAGGCAAGGGGUGAGCUAAGAUUCCAUUGGUUUCUUGAUGAAAGGAAACCUCUCCCACACAGAGCUAAAGCUGUCCAAAGAACCUCUGAAAAAAGUGGAACUGGGUAAAGGGCCCAGCUGUGGAGUAGAAGGGAUCAGAAUGUAGACAAAAGGGACAGGAAGGAGGAGUCAGAGAAAGCAUAGAAGGAGGCCUUUGAGCACAGCAUUCCCCCAUUUUCCAAAUGUCCCCAUCCAGUCAGAAAGGUGGUUUUCCUUUUACCUUCCUGGAACACUUAUGAUAGAUCUUAUGUUCCUUGGAAGUCUGGCUUCUAGUACCACAGAAACUUAGGAGGGUGACUGAAAGGCCUCAACAUGAAGGGUAGCAGUGGUAUAGCAUGAGUUGUUUCAGCACUGGUAGUAUGAACAAGGUUACCCACUUGGUUUAUGUUUCCAAUUUUAUGCAUUAAAAACCAACAACAACACAGUUGAAUAUCCUUGAGAGGAGUGUAUUAGUUAGGACUCUUUAGGUUACAAGUGACAAAUCCAAUGCCAAAUAGCUUAAUCAGAAAACAAAGUCUUAGGGGUUUGCUGGCUUCAGGUACAGACAGACUCAAGGAUUAGAAUUGUCUUUUCCAAGUCUCACCCUACCAGAAGAUGUGGAACUCUGGUAGGCCAGAGCACUCGUGCUUGGAAACCCCAAGGUGCUCACCAGAUGAGGAUGAUCACUCCUGUAGGUUCUCCCGGGUAAGGACAAAGAGGCAGAAUUUUGAAAGUUGACCAGAGAAACAAAUUGCUUGGUGGACACUGGGAUCAUGAAAUCAGGAAGCCCUGAUUUUUCUUUUUAAGUUGUCUAAUAACUAUUUAUUGGCCACCUAGUUUGUGUUAGUUACUGAGGACGUAGCAGAGAAUAAACCAAGGACAGUCUUUGCCUUCA